rnacentral:rRNA from 1 species
UGGGGAAUAUUGCGCAAUGGGCGAAAGCCUGACGCAGCGACGCCGCGUGAGGGAUGAAGGUUUUCGGAUCGUAAACCUCUGUUAGAAGGGAAGAAACCGCACUGUGCUAAUCAGCAGUGCCUUGACGGUACCUUCAAAGGAAGCACCGGCUAACUCCGUGCCAGCAGCCGCGGUAAUACGGAGGGUGCAAGCGUUAAUCGGAAUUACUGGGCGUAAAGCGCACGUAGGCUGCUUUGUAAGUCAGGGGUGAAAUCCCACGGCUCAACCGUGGAACUGCCUUUGAUACUGCUUAGCUUGAAUCCGGGAGAGGGUGGCGGAAUUCCAGGUGUAGGAGUGAAAUCCGUAGAUAUCUGGAGGAACAUCAGUGGCGAAGGCGGCCACCUGGACCGGUAUUGACGCUGAGGUGCGAAAGCGUGGGGAGCAAACAGG